GCCUGUUUAUGUGUCGUAACAACUCUUGAGACACGUGACUUUUCAAACAUGCGCUUCAAUAUAGUCGUCCUAGUGCCAUAUCAAGAACAGACCGAGCAACGAAGGGUACGGGUUUACUAAGGAUCCACUCGAACGCUCGGAACCACAAACCCACCGUGGGAACGACGGAGUAAUAUGCCAGGCGAUGGUGAUCAAGUAGACGCUGUCUUCGAAGAUCAUGCACCUACACAAGCGAAAUCUUCGUCAAGGACGCAGUGAAGGUUAAGAAGCAGCGAAGCUGAGUAUGUGGGCCCCUUAAUGGUGACCUGUCCCUUGACGUGCGUCAAACGCCGUACUUACAUAGAUGAAAGGAGAGGCACGACUAGUCUCACCUCCACGAUGUUCAGCCUCGCAAGAUUCUGAAGCACCCUCGUGGUUGGUGAAACAAGCGCUAUUUCGCAGGAUUCCGAUUCGCCUACGCAAACCGACAGUGAGCGGUUGCUACGGAAUGCCUAUGAAGGAGGGCCUCCGAGGAGUCCGUUUAUUACUUCCUCAUCGGGAAAUCAAGAGCACAUCAACAAUGUUGCGGUGGUAGGCAAUCGGAACGUGCAUGAACAAAGUAUCGCGUCAAAUGAACAUGGUGCUGCUCCAGAACCCCUGCCUGAUUUCUCCGACGUCGUCGAGCCUCCGUCCAGCCCAGCUUCUCAAGUAACGCAGUCAUCGUACGAGAACAGCACCGCUCUUUCAGCAGCUCACGCGGCUGCAAUGACGGCGUUCCACCCAACAAGCAUAUUGGCGGCCCUACAGCGAGUGCGGCCGUUAUUCAACUUCCUCAUCAACACGCAUGGACAGCCGCAGGCUGCUUUGUCGGAAGCACGUGAGUCAGCAGAAGGAGAGCGUCUUUUCAUUGCAGGGUCAUCACAGCCGUUCUCACCUGUCAUCAUGUUCAAUGAAAGUAGUGAAAUCACAUUUGCUGCAUUGAGAUCUCGCACCCUAUAUGGUGAACACUGUCAGCGUUCAGCCCUUGACGUACCACUACCAGAGCCUUCAUCAGAUUCCACUACCAACACAGUUCUGAAUGGAACCCUCGGCGCACACAGUUCACGGAAGAGAAACGUAAGCGGCGCCUCUGGAGCACCAGAUGACGGUGCGCUUUCUUCACAGCAGGCGAGAGAGGACAACGCUCGGGACCCCACUGCGAACGCAAGAAAGCGUAUCGCAGGCCCGAGUUUGGAACGCUUGGUCGGCGCACAUACACGAAGGAUGACGCUCGGCCAGCAAAACGAAGCAAGCAUACGAGUGCGCGUUCCACCAGACCUCGAAGUCUUGGAACAAGGGUCCUGCCGCCUGUAGCUAAUGCUUGCCAAUGACGAAGCCGGAGUGGCGGAAGGAACACAUCAGCUUGCGGAAUGGGAAACGUUCACAAGGGCACUGCUGGCUGUUCACGUUUGUAUUCAGCGCUUGACCCUGAGCAUCUCGGCAGUGUCCAGUUCACCCAGACACUUCUACCGGAACUUCAGUUUGCGAGACGGAACCGCACUGAUUGACGUUGAAGUCUCUGCAUUUCGUGACCCGUGGAUAGACUUUGUGUUACCGUAUUUGCGUAACCUAUGUCGACUAAGAAUGGUUGAAUACGCUGAUAUAAGCUUUCAAGACGUCGCUCUCCUAAAUCGUGACGUCCGAGGAGAGGAGAUGUUCCGUGAAUUUCUUCAGAUGGAUGCUCGUCUCGAAUUGGACAUUAACAACAGAAACCUCGAACGAAUAUUGGAUGCUACCAGGGACAUGCCCUUUCUGCGCCAGCUCGUGAUAUACGUCAACAACGCUGGCACCGAACCAUGGGAGCCUCGAGAAAUCUCGCUGAACCUGACGCAACACUUUUGCACUGACGUUCGGAGGCUGAGGUACGAGGUCGACGCAACCUACGCCCACUUCCUGCGCUGCCAGUGCGCCAACAAUCGCGGCGUAUGCACAACGACCUGUGUUGAGACAGGCAUAAUACCGACACUCUGCGCCCGUCGCGAGCUGACAGGUUGCAAAGGUGACUUGGUGCCGUACGUAGUUAGUGUUACGCACCCUGCAAUGCUUGGUACUUACGUUAUGUAUGUGCUUUGCAUAGUUUGCAGGCGUGCCGAAGAAUAGCGUCAGUAGAUUUGAGAAUCAUAAGAGGGAUUAGAUGAACUGAAAAGGAUUUUGUAAGGUUAACGGCAAUUUUGAACAAGCGCAAAGGAGACCGUUAUCGCCGUUGUAUGGAACUGACAGCUUGUUUGUUCCAAGAGAGCAUUUUUAUACAUUGACAAACUGGCGUUUAUUUUGCGUUGAGGCAUGCGAAAAUGUAGGGACUCUAUCCACCUUUCGAAAUACAUUUUUGCUUGUGACAGGGCUAACAUUUCUAUUAAAAUAAGUCAUGCCGCUUGCGUGAAGCAAUGGUGAGCCUAACGCAAUAGAGAGUAAUCAUUGGAUGCCAGGUGAAAACACUUGUAAAUGUAUGUCUUCGGGUUAUGUGUAAUUGUAUUUCAGGAGAUGCGUUUAUGCAGUGACGGCUCGUUUAAAGCGAAACUGCGUCAAUGAAUGUCAGAGUGCUUGGAAAUGCUUCAAGAGCCGAUAUACAAUCUAUUAAAUCUAAACACAGUAGCCUCUUUGGAGUAGUAAUUGAUGUCCUUUUAUGAGAAGAGUAUUGAACGCCUCAUUAUAGACAGUGAAAAAGUAGACAUAUUUUAAUGCUCAUAU